UGGGGAAGUCUUGCGCAAUGGGCGAAGACCUGACGCAGCAACGCCGCGUGGGGGAUGAAGGCUCUCGGGUUGUAAACCCUUUCUAGCAGGGACGCGGUACCUGCAGAAGAAGCCCCGGCUAACUACGUGCCAGCAGCCGCGGUAACACGUAGGGGGCAAGCGUUGUCCGGAUUUAUUGGGCGUAAAGAGCUCGUAGGUGGCUGAGUAAGUCGGAUGUUAAAUCCCCAGGCUCAACCUGGGACACCACCCGAUACUGCUCGGCUAGAGUCCGGUAGGGGAGCGUGGAAUUCCUGGUGUAGCGGUGAAAUGCGCAGAUAUCAGGAGGAACACCAGCAGCGAAGGCGGCGCUCUGGGCCGGUACUGACACUGAGGAGCGAAAGCGUGGGUGGC
rnacentral:rRNA from 1 species